CCGGCCUCACUAGGUGCCAGGAGCACGUCCCUCCCCCGGUUGUGACCACCCUGAAUGUCCCUGGACAUGGCCACAAUAUCCCGUGGGGGCAAACUUGCCCCCACUGGAGGCAAGAAACCUCGGAGGUCAAGUGAGAGGAAAAAGCACAUUGAUAAAGUGUCAGAAUUCACACCGCAACUAACUUCAAGACACUGUAUCACCUGUCACGUCUGGGCCUAGGGUAAGGGUGCACAUUACUGUUGGAAUAAGUGAUGAAAGUACUUCUUCCUCUCCAACCACGUGACCGUGUGGGGCUGGAUCUCCCUCAUCUCCGUCAACCGAAACAACAUGUGGAAACAUACUGCAUGCAGAAGCAGGGGAGAGCGCAAAGGCUGCCCCCCACUUUCCCAAAUUACGCAGUUGCGUUUCCCACAUUUGGGGAAAUCGCAGGGGUCAGCACGUGUGGAGUGCAAUGGAGAAGCCUCACCCUGGAAAAACCACCCUCGUGAUCACUGUCUCUCCCCUGCCAGUUCUGACUGUGAACCCUGUAGCUCAGCGGCUAAGGAGGAGAAAGGAAAACCCGCAGGACGGACAGAAAGGACUUUCCCGGUCGUGCUCUGGAAGGAUCGCUGGAGAGCUGCGGCCCGCACGGGACACCUGCACUGACCUCAUUGUGCCGGCAGGGGGCGGUGGGCCGCUGAGUGUGAGCGGCAGUCAGUCCCCGACACCCUCGGAAGCCAGGAUGGGAAUGUCUUGGCAGGCGGGGCAGGGGUGUUCAACAGAGUUCUCCAUUCCGGCGUCUGGCGUGGGCCUGAGAAUUUCUCUUUCUAACAAGUUCCCAGAUGCUGGCGGCUGCUGCUCCAGGGCCACCCCUUGAGAACCAGAUACAAACUUCCGACUCUAACCACCCUGGGGAUGCUGAGAUGCGAGAAUAGACUGCCCACAGGUGAAACAGAACCGGGGAAGCAGAGAGAGAACAGACACACAGAGAGAGGAAGAUGGAGAGGAAAGUGAAGGAAGACCUCCCCCCCUUGGAUUUCUAGAUGUUUCUUAAGCGCCACCCUUGCUGUGAGGCCUUGGGACUUGGACGCUUCUCCUCUAAGGAUCCCCCACCCCUCUUGGCCUGCAGCUCCGAGCACAGGCUGCCCUGUGUCCACUCGGAAGCAGAAACUUCCUCUGGCUGCUAGGAGAUGAAACCUGAUUGGUCGGCAUUGUGUUCUUCUUUGCAAUGAUUGGUCGUAGCAA